UGGGCUAUAAGUUAACGAGACUGGAAGUUUUCAGCACUUCAAGUAAAGAAAAGUCUUUUGGCCCAG
rnacentral:tRNA from 1 species